AAAUACAUUGACCCCAAAAUAAUGAAUUAUGUGUAAAAGCAACAUGUAUAUUGACAAAGAUGUUUGGGUAGUUUGUGACAUUAUUUAAUUAAAUCGCCUCCAAACUAACUACCACUUCCAAUUCUAAUAUUCUAUAAGUAAUGUGUACUAGACGAAGACUUCUCCCUUCAUCUCUAAACUACCUCCAUAUCUCUCUCUAUCUAACCUGCAAUGGGGAAGCUCUGCUGUGAGUCAGACGAUGGCGGAAUCGACAUCCAAGGACUUCUCGUUGCGAUUUUGAUUGCAGUCAUACUGAUGGCUUUAUGCAUGCCGGCGCCAAGAAAACGCGUUACGUACGUGUACCGUUGUUAAUUCAAGAAAAUCGAUUUCUGGAUUACUGAUUAACUUGUGAAAUGAUAUUCAUGGCUCAUUUGUUUUUCCUUUUCAAAUUCAAUUUUCACUUUAAUUGUGUCUGGAUACAUAUCCAGUUUGAUUGAGAAAGAUUUGAAUUCCCAAUUGUAUUUGUUUCUAUGUAUUUGUCAGAUAAAAAAAAUCCUUGAUCAUAUGAAAUAACUUCUUGAGCCCUUUUUAA